AUACGGAGGAUGCGAGCGUUAUCCGGAUUUAUUGGGUUUAAAGGGUGCGUAGGCGGUUUGUCAAGUCAGCGGUGAAACGCAAGGGCUUAACCCUUGACCUGCCGUUGAAACUGAUUGACUAGAAUGCGGAUGCUGUGGGAGGAAUGUGUGGUGUAGCGGUGAAAUGCAUAGAUAUCACACAGAACACCGAUUGCGAAGGCAUCUCACAAAUCCGUGAUUGACGCUGAGGCACGAAAGUGUGGGGAUCAAACAGGAUUAGAUACCCUGGUAGUCCACACUGUAAACGAUGAUAACUCGCUGUCGGCGAUACACAGUCGGUGGCCAAGCGAAAGCGAUAAGUUAUCCACCUGGGGAGUACGACCGCAAGGUUGAAACUUAAAGGAAUUGGCGGGG
rnacentral:rRNA from 1 species